CGAUCGCGAAAAGAGUGAUAGCUGGCCUGAUUACGCCGUUAAUAGUUGGCCAGUUCAAGUUGUCAAGAAUGUGCCACAACAAAAAGACGGGAUUUCAUGUGGACUCUAUGCGCUCAAGAACAUGGCAAACUGGAUAGGACACGAGCUAUCACAAAAUUUUACACAGGCCGACAUUGACAAGUUCAGGAAAGAACUCCCAGCUCUCAUAGUAGAUUCUCCACUGAAUGAAGAACCACGAAAACAACGA